UGCAGUCGAGCGGAACGAUCCUAGCUUGCUAGGAGGCGUCGAGCGGCGGACGGGUGAGUAAUGCAUAGGAAUCUGCCCGAUAGUGGGGGAUAACCUGAGGAAACUCAGGCUAAUACCGCAUACGUCCUACGGGAGAAAGCAGGGGCUCUUCGGACCUUGCGCUAUCGGAUGAGCUUAUGUCGGAUUAGCUGGUUGGUGAGGUAACGGCUCACCAAGGCGACGAUCCGUAGCUGGUCUGAGAGGAUGAUCAGCCACAUCGGGACUGAGACACGGCCCGAACUCCUACGGGAGGCAGCAGUGGGGAAUAUUGGACAAUGGGGGCAACCCUGAUCCAGCCAUGCCGCGUGUGUGAAGAAGGCCCUCGGGUUGUAAAGCACUUUCAGUGAGGAAGAAGGCUUGUCGGUUAAUACCCGGCAAGGGAGACAUCACUCACAGAAGAAGCACCGGCUAACUCCGUGCCAGCAGCCGCGGUAAUACGGAGGGUGCGAGCGUUAAUCGGAAUUACUGGGCGUAAAGCGUGCGUAGGCGGCUUGAUAAGCCGGUUGUGAAAGCCCCGGGCUCAACCUGGGAACGGCAUCCGGAACUGUCAGGCUAGAGUGCAGGAGAGGAAGGUAGAAUUCCCGGUGUAGCGGUGAAAUGCGUAGAGAUCGGGAGGAAUACCAGUGGCGAAGGCGGCCUUCUGGACUGACACUGACGCUGAGGUACGAAAGCGUGGGUAGCAAACAGGAUUAGAUACCCUGGUAGUCCACGCCGUAAACGAUGUCGACUAGCCGUUGGGGUCCUCGAGACCUUUGUGGCGCAGUUAACGCACUAAGUCGACCGCCUGGGGAGUACGGCCGCAAGGUUAAAACUCAAUGAAUUGACGGGGCCCGCACAAGCGGUGGAGCAUGGUGGUUUAAUUCGAUGCAACGCGAGAACCUUACCUACUCUUGAC
rnacentral:rRNA from 1 species